rnacentral:rRNA from 1 species
AGAGUUUGAUCCUGGCUCAGGGUAAACGCUGGCGGCGUGCCUAAAACAUGCAAGUCGAACGGGUGCACUCUCUUUAGGGGGGGUGUACCAGUGGCAGACGGCUGAGUAACGCGUGGGUGACCUGACCUCGAGUGGGGAAUAACUGCCCGAAAGGAUGGCUAAGGCCGCAUGAGCUCCGUACCGCAAGGUAGGGAGGAAAGCCCCUUCGGGGGUGCUGGAGGAGGGGCCCGCGUCCGAUUAGCUAGCUGGUGGGGUAACGGCCUACCAGGGCGACGAUCGGUCGCUGGUCUGAGAGGAUGACCAGCCAGACUGGGACUGARAGACGGCCCAGACUCCUACGGGAGGCAGCAGUUAGGAAUUUUGGGCAAUGGGCGCAAGCCUGACCCAGCAACGCCGCGUGGGUGACGACGGCCUUCGGGUUGUAAAGCCCUUUUCUGGGGGACGAUGAUGACGGUACCCCAGGAACAAGCACCGGCUAACUACGUGCCAGCAGCCGCGGUAAUACGUAGGGUGCGAGCGUUGCCCGGAUUUAUUGGGCGUAAAGGGCGCGCAGGCGGCCUGGUUUGUCCCGUGUGAAAGCCCCCAGCUCAACCGGGGGGGGACGCGGGAGACGAUUGGGCUGGAGCAAGGUAGGGGAGAGUGGAAUUCCCGGUGUAGUGGUGGAAUGCGUAGAGAUCGGGAGGAACACCAGUGGCGAAGGCGGCUCUCUGGACCUGUGCUGACGCUGAGGCGCGAAAGCGUGGGGAGCGAUCCGGAUUAGAUACCCGGGUAGUCC